UACGAAGGUCCCGAGCGUUGUUCGGAAUUACUGGGCGUAAAGCGCACGUAGGCGGAUUGGAAAGUCAGAGGUGAAAUCCCAGGGCUCAACCUUGGAACUGCCUUUGAAACUCCCAGUCUUGAGGUCGAGAGAGGUGAGUGGAAUUCCGAGUGUAGAGGUGAAAUUCGUAGAUAUUCGGAGGAACACCAGUGGCGAAGGCGGCUCACUGGCUCGAUACUGACGCUGAGGUGCGAAAGCGUGGGGAGCAAACAGG
rnacentral:rRNA from 1 species